ACGGCCACAUCACAUAGAAACACCGGUUCCCGUACGAUCACCGAAGUUAAGCAACGUCGCGCGUGGUUUGUAUCUACAUGGGUGACCGUUUGAGAAUA